GUUUCGUCUUUGAGAUAUUUAAUUAAAUCUUUUGUCGCGAUAUUUGCGUUAUUUAUUACGUGCGAUCGAAUCGCACCUACGCGAGUGUCAGUGUCAGUGUCGCAACAAAGCAGCCAAAAGCAGUGUGUUGAAUUGAGAAAUCAGAACGGAGGACGCGAGCAGCGAUACAUCAUUCCAAGAACAUCCGAUGUUAAUAUCAAUGCCACUAUGUGCAACCUAGAUACGCAACCAGUUUCAAUGUCUACUAUCGUCAAUGACAAUGAUAGCUUGGACAUUCCUUCUGAUAUCCCAGAUGUUUUCAAAAAGACUAUAUUUUGGCCCCGUAAAAACGAUUCAACAGUGAAAAAACGUGCUCUUAAAGUCAAAGUGCCUUCAGUUGCCACUUCGUUGGCCUGGCAAGAAUAUCACCGAGCGAAAGAAACGGAGAAAAGUCUACGUUUAAUUGGGAUCGAAAACAGAAAAAGAAAACGUCAAGAAACGGUAGAGAAAAAAAAGCAAGCAAUAGAGGAGAAAAAAAAAGCAAAAAUCGUUGCAACAAGCCGAAAAAGCCACCCAAAAAAAAUAAUAAAUCAAGCAGGAGAAAUAGACGUGGGAAAUAACAUGCAUAAUAUUUUGUUUCAUAAAAAAUAAAACAUGAUUUCUAUGAUAUUCUAUUUAAGAUUACUAUAAAUGAAAGAUAAUUUCUGGUUCUUUAUUUAUGAAUAUUAUAAAUAAAACAUUUAUAUGAAAAUAUAGCUUAAUAAUUCUUUUUAUUAUUGAUGUUACAUUCUUCUCCAAUUUCAGUUUCUAAGUAACAAGAAAAUUAA